UCGUUGAGCAACACGUCCUCUGAGAUUUAUCUGGUGGUCUGGAGGAAGAGGAGGCCUCACUGCUGGCUCCAGAGCAGGUGCAGUUUGACACGGUUUUCCAUGGUGGAGGCGAUGAGGACUCGGAUGCAGAGCAUUCAUGCUCAGAUGCUGAGGAAGACGCACCUCCAAGGAAAAGACUGAGAGCUGAGAACACCUGGAAGAAAGUCAUCAACAAGAAAAGAAGAAUGGUUGGAAAGUCAUACAUUGGAAAACA